CUGGGUGUAGCUCAAGCGGUAGAGCGGCGCGUUUGGGGCGCGCAUGUUGUCGGUUCGAGUCCGGCCAUCCCGA
rnacentral:tRNA from 1 species